rnacentral:snRNA from 1 species
UUGCUUCCACAGAACACACUAACACUGCAAAAAAACACAGAAGAUCAACAGGACCCCUGAGCAAGGAUGACAUGAACAUCUCUGAAGAAUUCCACAUGAAA